rnacentral:rRNA from 1 species
AUUGAACGCUGGCGGCAGGCCUAACACAUGCAAGUCGAACGAGUGGCGGACGGGUGAGUCAUGUCUGAGAAACUGCCUGAUGGCGGGGGAUAACUACUGGAAACGGUAGCUAAUACCGCAUAACAUCAAAUUUGCCCAGAGGGGAUUGGAUAGUUGGUGGGGUAACGGCUAACCAAGGCCACGAUACCUAGCUGGCCUGAGAGGAUGACCGGCCACACUGGAACUGAGACACGGUCCAGACUCAUACGGGAGGCAGCAGUGGGGAAGAUUGCACAAUGGGCGAAAGCCGUAUGCAGCCAGGCGGCGUGUAUGAAGAAGGCCUUCGGGUUGUAAAGUACUUUGAGCGGAGAAGCGUUACCCGCAGAGGAAGCACCGGCUAACUCCGUGCCAGCAGCCGCGGUAAUAC